GAGUGUUACAGCUCUCCUAGAAUUUGUCUAGCAGGCUUUCUGGUUUUUGCCUGAAAGCCCCU
rnacentral:snRNA from 1 species